UGAAACCGUGUGCUUACAAGUAGUCAGAGCCCGUUAAUGGGUGAUGGCGUGCCUUUUGUAGAAUGAACCGGCGAGUUACGAUUUGAUGCAAGGUUAAGCAGUAAAUGUGGAGCCGUAGCGAAAGCGAGUCUGAAUAGGGCGUUUAGUAUUUGGUCGUAGACCCGAAACCAGGUGAUCUACCCUUGGUCAGGUUGAAGUUCAGGUAACACUGAAUGGAGGACCGAACCGACUUACGUUGAAAAGUGAGCGGAUGAACUGAGGGUAGCGGAGAAAUUCCAAUCGAACCUGGAGAUAGCUGGUUCUCUCCGAAAUAGCUUUAGGGCUAGCCUCAAGUGAUGAUUAUUGGAGGUAGAGCACUGUUUGGACGAGGGGCCCCUCUCGGGUUACCGAAUUCAGACAAACUCCGAAUGCCAAUUAAUUUAACUUGGGAGUCAGAACAUGGGUGAUAAGGUCCGUGUUCGAAAGGGAAACAGCCCAGACCACCAGCUAAGGUCCCAAAAUAUAUGUUAAGUGGAAAAGGAUGUGGCGUUGCCCAGACAACUAGGAUGUUGGCUUAGAAGCAGCCAUCAUUUAAAGAGUGCGUAAUAGCUCACUAGUCGAGUGACACUGCGCCGAAAAUGUACCGGGGCUAAACAUAUUACCGAAGCUGUGGAUUGUCCUUUGGACAAUGGUAGGAGAGCGUUCUAAGGGCGUUGAAGCAUGAUCGUAAGGACAUGUGGAGCGCUUAGAAGUGAGAAUGCCGGUGUGAGUAGCGAAAGACGGGUGAGAAUCCCGUCCACCGAUUG
rnacentral:rRNA from 1 species